UUUGGCUCGGAUUCGGGGCUGG
rnacentral:piRNA from 1 species